UAAUAUGGACGUGAUCAAACACGGACCCUGCAGCUUUUUCAUAUUUCUGCUUUGGAUUAAAGGUUUUAUUGAUGGGAGUGAUGUCAACCAGACCCCCAUACUGUGGAAGAACCAGGGUGACAAUGCAACUAUAGGAUGCAACCACACCAAGGGUGGUGGCUACUUCCAGAUGUACUGGUACAGACAGCUGCCUGGAGAAACUAUGGAACUAAUUGUGUUCACAACACCGUUUAAUAAAGAUCACGACUUUGAAGAUGUCAGCAAAAAGAAAUUCUCAGCCACUAAACCUGGUGCUGAGAGCGGGACAUUCACAGUGGAGAAUCUGGAGCCUGGAGAUCAAGGCUUGUAUUUCUGUGCUGUGAGUCAACACAGUGAUACAGACACAUGUGGAAGCUGA